ACCGGCAUUCACAUAUGUAUUUACAUCCACGUGGUACAUAAUAUAAGGUUUGAGAACAACACUACUUAAAAAUAUUUGUCUACAAGAAUUCAAAAUCAUAAAUACACUAGAUAUUUUGAUUUGCACAGGCAAUUACUUAAUUUCCAAACAUGUCAUCAUUACGGAGCCGCCACAAAUGUUCCAAAUGUGACAAGUAUUUUUCCACCAAUUUCGCUUUAUCCCAACAUAUUAAAAAUCAUGUAGACGAAACAGAAAUCUCCGACGAGGAGGAGGACGAAUUCGCUAAAACUGAAGUUGAGCUGAAAACGCCCAAAUUUCCAUGCACAGUUCCCCACUGUGGGGCAAAAUUAGGGUCAAAAACCGCCCUACAAGCCCACAUCAAAAGCGUCCACGUCGCCACGAGGAACUUUAAAUGUUCCAUUUGUUCCAAUGCCAACUUUUUCCGAAAUUUGCGCGAUCUGAACGUCCACAAAAAAAAAGUUCACGGUGCCAAGAAAUUCAAAUGCGCCCAGUGUCCCAGAGCGUUCACGAUGUCGUGCUCCUUAAAAAGCCAUGUCGACGUGGUCCACUCCACCGAGCGGGAUUUCGAGUGCACUAUUUGCGGAAAAAAAUUUAAGCAGAAAUCAACCCUAAAAAGUCACGUGGAUUCCGUACACUCGGAAACUUUGACCCUUUCGGAAUGUGACAUAUGCAAGAAAUUUUACAAAACGGCCUACGCCAUGAAAUCCCAUAAACAAAAUGUUCACCAAAAUGGCGAAUACAAAUGUGACCUUUGUCCCAAAACGUUUACGCGGAGGGAUACGAUGUCCCGACAUAAAAAUAUGGCACAUUUGACACCAUCGGGUUCCUCCGUUAAAUGCAGUUUUCCAAAGUGUGGAAAGGUGUUUGUGUUCGACUCCAGUAUGAAGGCGCACUAUAGGAGAGUUCAUGUAGGAGGAUGUGUGAAAAAAUUCCCCUGCUAUUUUUGCGAUAAAAUGUUCGAAUCUCCGGGGAACGUGGUGGAUCAUACGAGGUCACAUACGGGAGAGAGGCCCUUUAAAUGUGCGGUGUGUAAAAAAGAAUUUUCUACCUUGGGGCUUCUGACGAGACACGAGCCAACUCAUGUUCCUACUACGGAGAGGAAACAGUUCAAAUGUCCGCUUUGCUCACGAAGAAGUUUCUACAGCUUCGAUUUGAAAAAUCACAUGAGAAAGAUGCAUGGAUCGAGCAAAAGUAAAAUAAUUUCUGGUUCCAAGCCUGGACAAAGCGUGGCCGUACACGUGACGACACAUAUGAAGAAGAAGAUUUUUAAGGAUGAAAAGAAAAUCAGGUCGAAAGAGAAUAAAAAAGUAAGACUUGGCCAGAAGCGGACCCUUGGUCGCAGCGAUGCCAUACUGGACACAAAUGUUAGCAAAGGCUUUGUCCCCACGACUCCAAAUUCCGACAAAUUCUCACCUUUACCAUAUAUUAAGAUUGAGACCGAAACUUUGAGAGAAACUGACGAAACGGACGACGGGAUGGACAUCGUCCACAGUAUUUUCGUCGGUGGAAGCGACACUGUUUCCGAGCAGGGUGAAUCAAUGGCAAAGUAAUGACGACGACAUUGUCAAGUUAAUCUCUAUAAGUCUGAAUUAUGUAAAUGCUUUACAUACAUAUGUACUUUUUCAAGCUACACCGGGAUUGACUAAUGAUCAAUCCCGGUGUAGCUUGAAAAGAGGUUCCAUUGUAAGUGCAAAAUACAUAGUGUACGAAAAUAAUUUUGAUUCCAUUUCUCUCAAAAUAUGUAUUUACCAAGGAUGUACAAAUUUAAGCUCUAUUGUGUAUUGGCCCGAGCAUAAAGUGUCAAAAUAAACGGUUACCAUAUUACA